rnacentral:rRNA from 1 species
GACGGGGCCCGCACAAGCGGAGGAACAUGUGGUUAAUUCGAUGAUACGCGAGGAACCUUACCUGGGCUUAAAUGUAGAGUGCAUUUUUAGAGAUAGAAAUUCCCUUCGGGGCUUUCUGCAAGGUGCUGCAUGGUUGUCGUCAGCUCGUGCCGUGAGGUGUCGGGUUAAGUCCCAUAACGAGCGCAACCCUUAUCGUUAGUUGCCAUCUGGUAAUGCAGGGGACUCUAGCGAAACUGCCACCGUAAGGUGAGAGGAAGGUGGGGAUGACGUCAAAUCAGCACGGCCCUUAUGUCCAGGGCUACACACGUGUUACAAUGGUCGGUACAGAGGGCAGCUACCUGGUGACAGGAUGCUAAUCUCGAAAACCGGUCUCAGUUCGGAUCGAAGUCUGCAACUCGACUUCGUGAAGCUGGAUUCGCUAGUAAUCGCGCAUCAGCUAUGGCGCGGUGAAUACGUUCCCGGGCCUU